GAUAAUGGGCCGGCCCAAUUAAUGGAGCUCUUCUAACGAGAGAUGCUACUACGCGGUGUGAGCGAUCUCUUUGUGAGCUCUUCUUCCUCCGAUUCGAAACCCUCGAGGGCUCUUCUCGAUCGAACGACCUAGGGUUUAGAGAGAUCUCCGCGAGCUCGAUCGAUACCCUCGGAGAUGGACCUCGACGAGUACGAUUACCUGGAUGAAUCAGUGGAGGACGCUCCCAGGAGCAAAAGGACGAAGGAGGAGGAGGCGCAUCGCGAUGGGUCGCGGCGCCGCCGCGAACACGAUAAGGAGCUCGGCGGAGAGGAUGAGAAGGAGAAGAAGAGGUCGAGGGCGGAGUGGGACGAUCGGGAGCGCUCGUCGCGGCGCGAGAAGGAGCGGCACCGCAGCGGCGAGAAGGAGCGCGAGAGGGACGAGGGGCGCCGGAGCGGAGAGAGGGAGCACAGGGAGAGGGAUAGAGAUGAGGAGAGGGAGAGGGAGAGGAGAAGGGAGAGGGAGCGAGAGAAGGAGAGAGGAGGAGAACGAGAGAGCGAGAGGGAGAGGAGAAGCAGUAGCAGGUCGAGGAUGCACGAUCGAGAAAUUGAGAGAGUAUUUGAGAGGUCCAGGAGUAGAGAUAGUGCACGUAGAGAAAGAGAACUAGAGAGAGAAAUCAUAGAAAGCAGGAGGUCGAGGGAGAAAAAGGAGGUGGUGGAACCUGAAGCUGAUCCAGAAAGAGACCGGAGAACUGUUUUCGCUUACCAGAUGCCUUUGAAAGCUACAGAGAAAGAUGUUUAUGAAUUUUUCUCUAAAGCAGGAAAGGUCAGGGAUGUUCGCUUGAUUAUGGAUCGAAAUUCUAGGCGGUCAAAAGGAGUUGGUUACAUCGAGUUUUAUGAUGCAAUGUCAGUCCCCAUGGCAAUAGCUCUUUCUGGACAACUGCUUCUUGGUCAACCAGUGAUGGUUAAACCUUCUGAAGCUGAAAAGAAUCUUGUUCAGACAAAUACUAGUGGCUCUACAGGUGCGGUGGGUGGAGUUGCUGCGAGGAAAAUUUAUGUAGGCAAUCUACCUGUCAAUAUGACAGAAGAUCAACUUCGUCAGGUUUUUGAGCCUUUUGGUCAAGUUGAACUUGUGCAACUGCCACUUGACCUGGAGAGUGGCCACUGCAGAGGCUAUGGGUUCGUUCAGUUUGCUCAAGUGGAAUUCGCAAAGGCAGCUCAAACUUUGAAUGGAAAGCUGGAAAUUGGUGGCCGUACUAUUAAAGUAUCUUCUGUCACAGAUCAUGUCAGUGGUGGUGAUGCUGCAACAAAUGCUGCUGCUGACUUAGAUGACGAUGAAGGUGGUGGUUUGGUCGAUAUUUUAGGUGUCAUGUGGAGCUUGACUGUCAUCUCUGCUUGAUUUGAUUAUGCAACCCAAAUUUUGAGAUUAUUUUUCUGUACAAGGCAGUAGCUUAGUCUUCUAUAGUUGUCUUAUACUGACAGAUAUGUUUUGGCUCAAGCUUGCAUAUUAACUCGUUAUUGUAUUUUGGACUGUACAGUCCUUAAAUGCUCGAGCUCGGGCUUCACUAAUGCAGAAAUUGGAUCGAACUGGAACUGCUACAAGUUUUGUACAGAAUUACUCUUAUCUCAGCCGGAAAGUCAUCAAAUUUAUGGGAAAAGUUGAUUUUGCAGCAGAACGUAACUUAAAG